CCAAAAUUCUAAAGUUUCUUUUCUCCUCCAUCUCUCUAAAAAUCUCUUCCUUUUCUCUAGAAUUCUUCUUUACUCUUCCAUCUUUUUCCUCAAACGAACACCGACUAAGCAAUCUAUGAGGCAUGGUCAUUUUUUCCACUGAUCAAAAUCAAGUCUAGAGUUGGAUCGCAAAUCAGUGAAUUGUAGAUUCUUAAGAUUUCUCAUUGUUGAGAGCAAAUCCCUGAAGUGGUAGAGUUGUUUGGUCCAGUUAAGAGAGCGUGCUGAAGAUACUUUGGAGCAUGCACUGGAUGGAGAGGAGCAUUUCUAUUAGAGUAAGACUGUUCGGUCUUGUAUUCCUUUUUGUAUUAGUUUAGGACCGUUCGUUUAUUACUUCGAUUGUAU